GAGGGUGACCGGCCACACUGGGACUGAGACACGGCCCAGACUCCUACGGGAGGCAGCAGUGGGGAAUAUUGCACAAUGGGCGGAAGCCUGAUGCAGCGACGCCGCGUGAGGGAUGACGGCCUUCGGGUUGUAAACCUCUUUCAGUAGGGAAGAAGCUUUCGGGUGACGGUACCUGCAGAAGAAGCGCCGGCUAACUACGUGCCAGCAGCCGCGGUAAUACGUAGGGCGCAAGCGUUAUCCGGAAUUAUUGGGCGUAAAGAGCUCGUAGGCGGUUUGUCGCGUCUGCUGUGAAAGACCGGGGCUCAACUCCGGUUCUGCAGUGGGUACGGGCAGACUAGAGUGAUGUAGGGGAGACUGGAAUUCCUGGUGUAGCGGUGAAAUGCGCAGAUAUCAGGAGGAACACCGAUGGCGAAGGCAGGUCUCUGGGCAUUAACUGACGCUGAGGAGCGAAAGCAUGGGGAGCGAACAGGAUUAGAUACCCUGGUAGUCCAUGCCGUAAACGUUGGGCACUAGGUGUGGGGGACAUUCCACGUUUUCCGCGCCGUAGCUAACGCAUUAAGU
rnacentral:rRNA from 1 species